AGCGAACGCUGGCGGCAGGCUUAACACAUGCAAGUCGAGCGGGCCCUUCGGGGUCAGCGGCAGACGGGUGAGUAACGCGUGGGAACGUGCCCUUCGGUUCGGAAUAACUAAGGGAAACUUGAGCUAAUACCGGAUACGCCCUUAUGGGGAAUGGUUUACUGCCGAAGGAUCGGCCCUCGUCUGAUUAGCUAGUUGGUGAGGUUAUGGCUCACCAAGGCGACGAUCAGUAGCUGGUCUGAGAGGAUGAUCAGCCACACUGGGACUGAGACACGGCCCAGACUCCUACGGGAGGCAGCAGUGGGGAAUAUUGGACAAUGGGGGCAACCCUGAUCCAGCCAUGCCGCGUGAGUGAUGACGGCCUUAGGGUUGUAAAGCUCUUUUCUCCGGGACGAUAAUGACGGUACCGGAGGAAUAAGCCCCGGCUAACUUCGUG
rnacentral:rRNA from 1 species